rnacentral:rRNA from 1 species
AGUGAACGCUGGCGGCGUGCUUAACACAUGCAAGUCGAACGGAUGAAAUAAGCUUGCUUAUUUCGUUAGUGGCGCACGGGUGAGUAAUGUAUAGCUAACCUGCCCUUUAGUGGGGACAACAGUUGGAAACGACUGCUAAUACCCCAUAUUCCUUCUUAUCAUAAGGUGAGUUGGGAAAGAUUUAUUGCUAAAGGAUGGGGCUUUAUGGUAUCAGCUAGUUGGUGGGGUAACGGCCUACCAAGGCUAUGACGCCUACCUGGUCUGAGAGGAUGAUCAGGCACACUGGAACUGAGACACGGUCCAGACUCCUACGGGAGGCAGCAGUGGGGAAUAUUGCACAAUGGAGGAAACUCUGAUGCAGCAACGCCGCGUGGAGGAUGACGCAUUUCGGUGUGUAAACUCCUUUUAUAAGGGAAGAUAAUGACGGUACCUUAUGAAUAAGCACCGGCUAACUCCGUG